CGAGGCAGCAAUUACGCUUUGGGGAUAAAACGAGGCGCAGAGAGCCGGCUGGGGCAUUUCUCCCCGAGAUGGCGGGUCUGGGAUCUGCAGCCCGGCGGCCCGGAGUCCUUCUGCUCCUGCUGUGUAUCGCCCACCCCUCGCAGCCUGGAGGGGUCCCGGGGGCUGUUCCUGGUGGAGUUCCCGGAGGCGUCUAUUACCCAGGUGCUGGUCUCGGAGGUCUGGGAGGAGGAGCUCUGGGGCCUGGAGGCAAACCGCCCAAGCCAGGUAAGACCUGAGGCCCCAGGGGCAGG